CUUAGCAGAGAUGCUUUGGUGCCUUCGGGAACUCUGAGACAGGUGCUGCAUGGCUGUCGUCAGCUCGUGUUGUGAAAUGUUGGGUUAAGUCCCGCAACGAGCGCAACCCUUAUCCUUUGUUGCCAGCGGUUAGGCCGGGAACUCAAAGGAGACUGCCAGUGAUAAACUGGAGGAAGGUGGGGAUGACGUCAAGUCAUCAUGGCCCUUACGAGUAGGGCUACACACGUGCUACAAUGGCGCAUACAAAGAGAAGCGACCUCGCGAGAGCAAGCGGACCUCAUAAAGUGCGUCGUAGUCCGGAUUGGAGUCUGCAACUCGACUCCAUGAAGUCGGAAUCGCUAGUAAUCGUGGAUCAGAAUGCCACGGUGAAUACGUUCCCGGGCCUUGUACACACCGCCCGUCACACCAUGGGAGUGGGUUGCAAAAGAAGUAGGUAGCUUAACCUUCGGGAGGGCGCUUACCACUUUGUGAUUCAUGACUGGGGUGAAGUCGUAACAAGGUAGGCGUAGUGCU
rnacentral:rRNA from 1 species